AAAGUUUUUCUUGUUAGAAAGUUUAACAGGGGUACGCAGGUGAUGCUGAAGAGGUUCAUCGAAUGGACACUGGAGUAACAUUCAUGAUGUCGAUCAGACGUCCAUCUUUGAAAUAUUCUUUAAAAAACUAUCUGUGUGUUUUUGUAGCAACUUUAAGUAACAGGGCGUUCAUACCACAUGUUAUAAGAAAAUAACCAUUACAGUGUGUUAAUAGUUGUAUAUAUUUUUAAUAUAUCUUAUAACGACUCUCUUUGUACCAACAGGAAGGAGGAAGAGGGCGACUUUACUUGGUGUCAGUGACAGAAAUGAGAAAAAGCUGAAAUGAGUGAGAAGGACGAUGAAGGAAACAUCUGUGCUGUGUCUGCUCUCUGCAGCUGCAGUCUGCUCAGCAGUGAGAACUGAAGACGUCAGUCAAAGAGAAGAAAAACAGUCAGAGCUGAGAGAGUUUCUACCAGAGCCAAAUGUCAUCGACUCCUCACUGAAGUCGUCCACCAGUCCAACCACUGGAAUCCAGCUGCUGCUCUCUAACUGGUCCACACAGCAGCUCAGACCUGACACAUUCACUGUAAACACACUGGUUUAUAUUCUGUUUGUUCUCCUCAUGAAGGAAACCUCACACAACCACUGAGGGCAGAAAGUUCAAACAGGACAGUUAUUAUUCCUUUCUUUUAUAAAGAAGCUGGAAAACUGACUUUCCCAAACUUUUUAUAUUAAAAAGAUAACAUUUUCUUUACCAAACCUUUCAGAAUAAAAGCAUGACCAAGACAUCAUUUAUACAUAAACAGUAAUAAAUCUUAUGUGACUACAAUGUAGAUGUAAUCCAUGUUUUCAUGUCUUCAGUAACUUUGCUGUUAUUUAUGUUAUUUCUAAGUGUGCUGUCGUCUCCACAGCAGUGAUCUGGUUUCUCUGCAGGUUCAAUAAACUUUGGUCUCACUUGA